ensembl:miRNA
GCUGUGGGGAUCUGGCACUGUGGUUCCUGCAUGAACACAGUAGCUGGUGGUGCCUGGACCUACAACACCACUUUUGCUGUCACAGUGAAGUCUGCC